CCGCAUUAUUUUGAAACAGCGGUUCCCGUACGGUCAUCGAAGGUAAGCAACUUAGAGUCUGGUCAGUAGCUCGAUGGGUGACCACUUGGGAAUAUCAGGUGCUAUAA